rnacentral:antisense_RNA from 1 species
GUAAGAGCAUUUCCUGGACUUUUAACAUGCGGUUAUCAAAUUGAACUAGAUCUUCUUGUGAUGCCCAGCCCUUAUCAUCAAUAAGAUAAUAAGUUCCAUGGUUUGUUUGUGCCAUUUGAGUGGCAUGAACUUUUUGAGCAAAUAAAAAAGAAGAAGGAAUUGUUUGCGUACCUAAAACAUAAGGGGCUGAAUAAAGCCUAAGUUUCUUUUGUGUCCAAAAAUAGCUAUCUAUAUCUACUUGAUUAAGUACAAUAUCGUCAUAAAUCAAUUGUCGAUUAGCCUCAACAUAGGUACCAUCAGCUAACUCAAAAACCGGUAAAGAUUCUUUGUUAAGCACAAGCGAUUUAAUAAGUAAUGGUUGAUUUACACCUAAUCUUCCUGCUGGUAGAGUUAAAUCACUGUCUUUAUAGGCACACGUUUCUUGAUAAAGAUUUGGAUUAGAGGGUAUUUGAUUAUAGAAUUGUGUUGAUUGAACG